GCGGCUGUGGCGAAGUGGUUAACGCAUUGGAUUGUGGCUCCAACACUCGUGGGUUCGAUUCCCAUCAGUCGCCCCA
rnacentral:tRNA from 1 species